UACGAAGGGGGCUAGCGUUGCUCGGAAUCACUGGGCGUAAAGCGCACGUAGGCGGCUUUCUAAGUCAGGGGUGAAAUCCUGGAGCUCAACUCCAGAACUGCCUUUGAUACUGGAAAGCUUGAGUUCGGGAGAGGUGAGUGGAACUGCGAGUGUAGAGGUGAAAUUCGUAGAUAUUCGCAAGAACACCCGUGGCGAAGGCGGCUCUCUGGGACGGUACUGACGCUGAGACGCGAAAGCGUGGGGAGCGAACAGG
rnacentral:rRNA from 1 species